rnacentral:rRNA from 1 species
UACGGAGGAUGCAAGCGUUAUCCGGAAUGAUUGGGCGUAAAGCGUCCGCAGGUGGCUGUGUAAGUCUGCUGUCAAAGAGCAAAGCUCAACUUUGUAAAGGCAGUGGAAACUACACGGCUAGAGUACGUUCGGGGCAGAGGGAAUUCCUGGUGUAGCGGUGAAAUGCGUAGAGAUCAGGAAGAACACCGGUGGCGAAGGCACUCUGCUAGGCCGUAACUGACACUGAGGGACGAAAGCUAGGGGAGCGAAUGGG